UAAAGUAAAACAAAAGAAAAAGAAAUGAAAAAAAAAAGAGAUAGAAAAGAAACAGAAUGAAACGAAACAGAGAGCAAGGAAGGAAAGAAAAGAAAGAAAGGGAGAAAAGGGAAAUUUUAGAUUUCAAGGUUUGAAAGUUUAAUUGUCAAUGUGGUACCGGAAAUCUCGGCUAAGAAAGGACAAGACAAAGUCAACGGGAGUUAGCUCAGAAACUACGGUUUGUAUUUCUAUAAUCCGAACUUAAUACUUAAAUUGUUGGAUUUAUUAUUUAAUAUAUAUGUAGUAGGUGUUUUGAGAUGAUUAUUUGAAUUGGAUUGAAUAUUGAUUAUAUUGAAUUGAUUUAUGAAUAUAUAUAUAUAUAUAUAUGAAUGUUUGAAUUGAAAUGAAUAUUGAUGUGGAAAUUGAAUAAUAAAUAUUUGUUAUAUUGGAAAAUA